GACGAACGCUGGCGGCGUGCUUAACACAUGCAAGUCGAACGGUAAGGCCCUUCGGGGUACACGAGUGGCGAACGGGUGAGUAACACGUGGGUGAUCUGCCCUGCACUUCGGGAUAAGCCUGGGAAACUGGGUCUAAUACCGGAUAGGACCACUGCCUGCAUGGGUGGUGGUGGAAAGCUUUUGCGGUGUGGGAUGGGCCCGCGGCCUAUCAGCUUGUUGGUGGGGUGAUGGCCUACCAAGGCGACGACGGGUAGCCGGCCUGAGAGGGUGACCGGCCACACGGGGACUGAGAUACGGCCCAGACUCCUACGGGAGGCAGCAGUGGGGAAUAUUGCACAAUGGGCGCAAGCCUGAUGCAGCGACGCCGCGUGAGGGAUGACGGUCUUCGGGUUGUAAACCUCUUUCAGCACCGACGAAGCGCAAGUGACGGUAGGUGCAGAAGAAGGACCGGCCAACUACGUGCCAGCAGCCGCGGUAA
rnacentral:rRNA from 1 species